rnacentral:rRNA from 1 species
UAGGGAAUCUUCCGCAAUGGACGCAAGUCUGACGGAGCAACGCCGCGUGAGUGAAGAAGGAUUUCGGUUCGUAAAACUCUGUUGUUAGAGAAGAACAGCGCAUAGAGUAACUGUUAUGCGUGUGACGGUAUCUAACCAGAAAGCCACGGCUAACUACGUGCCAGCAGCCGCGGUAAUACGUAGGUGGCAAGCGUUGUCCGGAUUUAUUGGGCGUAAAGCGAGCGCAGGCGGUCAAUUAAGUCUGAUGUGAAAGCCCCCGGCUCAACCGGGGAGGGUCAUUGGAAACUGGUUGACUUGAGUGCAGAAGAGGAGAGUGGAAUUCCAUGUGUAGCGGUGAAAUGCGUAGAUAUAUGGAGGAACACCAGUGGCGAAGGCGACUCUCUGGUCUGUAACUGACGCUGAGGUUCGAAAGCGUGGGUGGCAAACAGG